GUCCCAAGGGUUGGGCUGUUCGCCCAUUAAAGCGGUACGCGAGCUGGGUUCAGAACGUCGUGAGACAGUUCGGUCCCUAUCCGUCGCGGGCGUAGGAAAUUUGAGAGGAGCUGCCCUUAGUACGAGAGGACCGGGGUGGACGUACCUCUGGUGUAUCAGUUGUUCCGCCAGGAGCAUCGCUGAGUAGCUAUGUACGGAUGAGAUAAACGCUGAAAGCAUCUAAGUGUGAAACUCGCCUCGAGAUGAGAUUUCCCAUUCUUUAUGAAGUAAGACCCCUCAGAGAUGAUGAGGUAGAUAGGCUAGAAGUGGAAGUGCGGCGACGCAUGGAGCGGACUAGUACUAAUGGUUCGAGGACUUAACCAA
rnacentral:rRNA from 1 species